rnacentral:rRNA from 1 species
UACGUAGGUGGCAAGCGUUGUCCGGAUUUACUGGGCGUAAAGAGCGCGCAGGCGGUCGUUCAAGUCGCGUGUGAAAGCCCCCGGCUCAACUGGGGAGGGUCACGCGAUACUGAUCGACUCGAAGGCAGGAGAGGGAAGUGGAAUUCCCGGUGUAGUGGUGAAAUGCGUAGAUAUCGGGAAGAACACCAGUGGCGAAAGCGCUCUACUGGGCCAUGACUGACACUGAGGGACGAAAGCUAGGGGAGCGAACAGG